ACAUCCAAGGAAGGCAGCAGGCGCGCAAAUUACCCAAUCCCGACACGGGGAGGUAGUGACAAUAAAUACUGAUGCAGGGCUCUUUUGGGUCUUGUAAUUGGAAUGAGUACAAUUUAAAUCCCUUAACGAGGAACAAUUGGAGGGCAAGUCUGGUGCCAGCAGCCGCGGUAAUUCCAGCUCCAAUAGCGUAUAUUAAAGUUGUUGCAGUUAAAAAGCUCGUAGUUGAACCUUGGGCCUGGCUGGCCGGUCCGCCUCACCGCGUGUACUGGUCCGGCCGGGCCUUUCCUUCUGGGGAACCUCAUGCCCUUCACUGGGCGUGUUGGGGAACCAGGACUUUUACUUUGAAAAAAUUAGAGUGUUCAAAGCAGGCCUUUGCUCGAAUACAUUAGCAUGGAAUAAUAGAAUAGGACGUGUGGUUCUAUUUUGUUGGUUUCUAGGACGCCGUAAUGAUUAAUAGGGAUAGUCGGGGGCAUCAGUAUUCAAUCGUCAGAGGUGAAAUUCUUGGAUUGAUUGAAGACUAACUACUGCGAAAGCAUUUGCCAAGGAUGUUUUCAUUAAUCAGUGAACGAAAGUUAGGGGAUCGAAGACGAUCAGAUACC
rnacentral:rRNA from 1 species